rnacentral:rRNA from 1 species
CACGCCUGCCCAGUGAAUAAUUAAACGGCCGCGGUACCCUAACCGUGCAAAGGUAGCGUAAUCAUUUGUCUAUUAAUUGUAGACCCGUAUGAAAGGCAUAAUGAGGGCUUAACUGUCUCUUUUAGUAAAUCAAUUAAACUGAUCUCCUAGUCCAAAAGCUAGGAUACCAACAUAAGACCAGAAGACCCUGUGAAACUUUAACUAAAAUAUUAAAGCCUAUAAUAACUACUUUAGGUUGGGGCGACCUUGGAAAAUAAAAGAACUUCCACACACAUAUUAUAUAAUAAUAUACAGCCGGCCAACAAGCCUACAACGACCCAGCACAGCUGACAAUUGAACCAAGCUACUCCAGGGAUAACAGCGCUAUCUUCUUCAA